CGCUGGCGGCACGCCUAACACAUGCAAGUCGAACGAAGUAGCAAUACUUAGUGGCAGACGGGUGAGUAACAUGUAGGUAUCUGCCCUUUGGCCUGGAAUAACACGAGGAAACUUGUGCUAAUACCGGAUAAGUCUUUACGGAGAAAGCUUUAUGCACCAUUGGAUGAGCCUGCACUUGAUUAGUUUGUUGGUGGGGUAAUGGCCUACCAAGACUGUGAUCAAUAGCUGAUUUGAGAGGAUGAUCAGCCACAUUGGGACUGAGACACGGCCCAAACUCCUACGGGAGGCAGCAGUGGGGAAUCUUGCACAAUGGAGGAAACUCUGAUGCAGCGAUGCCGCGUGAGUGAAGAAGGCCCUUGGGUUGUAAAGCUCUUUCGUCGGGGAAGAAAAUGACUGUACCCGAAUAAGAAGGUCCGGCUAACUUCGUGCCAGCAGCCGCGGUAAUACGAAGGGACCUAGCGUAGUUCGGAAUUACUGGGCUUAAAGAGUUCGUAGGUGGUUGAAAAAGUUAGUGGUGAAAUCCCAGAGCUUAACUCUGGAACUGCCAUUAAAACUUUUCAGCUAGAGUAUGAUAGAGGAAAGCAGAAUUUCUAGUGUAGAGGUGAAAUUCGUAGAUAUUAGAAAGAAUACCAAUUGCGAAGGCAGCUUUCUGGAUCAUUACUGACACUGAGGAACGAAAGCAUGGGUAGCGAAGAGGAUUAGAUACCCUCGUAGUCCAUGCCGUAAACGAUGUGUGUUAGACGUUGGAAAUUUAUUUUCAGUGUCGCAGGGAAACCGAUAAACACACCGCCUGGGGAGUACGACCG
rnacentral:rRNA from 1 species